rnacentral:rRNA from 1 species
GAUGAACGCUAGCUACAGGCUUAACACAUGCAAGUCGCGGGGCAUCAUGGGGGUUGCUUCACCCUAUGGCGCCCGGCGCACGGGUGAGUAACGGGGUAUCCAACCUGCCCUUCACCACGGGAUAACCCGGCGAAAGUCGGACUAAUACCGUAUGUUGUCCAUUGACGGCAUCCGAUUUGGACGAAAGGCUUAGCGGUGAGGGAUGGGGAUGCGUCCGAUUAGCUCGACGGCGGGGUAACGGCCCACCGUGGCGACGAUCGGUAGGGGUUCUGAGAGGAAGGUCCCCCACACUGGAACUGAGACACGGUCCAGGCUCCUACGGGAGGCAGCAGUGAGGAAUAUUGGUCAAUGGGCGGAAGCCUGAACCAGCCAAGUAGCGUGCAGGAUGACGGCCCUAUGGGUUGUAAACUGCUUUUAUGCGGGGAUAAAGGGGCUCACGUGUGGCUUUUGCAGGUACCGCAUGAAUAAGGACGGU